AUGGUGUUGAGGAACGUUGCGAUGAGAGCCUUGUUGCUCCUGGCGGUGGUGAGCGUGGCAUAUGCCGCCAAAGGCAAGGAGAAGGAGGAGAGCGCAGAUGGUCCGGCGGCGUCUGGUCUGGGCGGGGAGUACGACAUCACCAAGCUCGGCGCCAAGCCCGACGGCACAACGGACUGCACCGAGGCGGUGGAGGAGGCAUGGGCUUCGGCAUGCGGUAGCACCGGCAACCCGACCAUCAUCAUCCCCAAGGGUGAUUUCCUGACUGGAGCUCUGAAUUUCACGGGGCCGUGCAAGGGCGACGGACUCACCAUCAAGCUGGAAGGCAACCUGCUAGCUUCCAACGACCUGGCCAAGUUCAAGUCUAACUGGAUCGAGAUCAUGCGCGUGAAGAAGCUCUCCAUCACUGGCAAAGGCAACAUCGACGGUCAGGGCAAGGCCGUCUGGACCAAAAACAGCUGCCAAAAGAACUACAACUGCAAGAUAUUGCCAAACUCGCUGGUGCUGGACUUCUGUGACGACGCGCUCAUCGAAGGCAUCUCUAUCAUCAAUUCCAAGUUCUUCCACAUGAACAUCUUCCAGUGCAAGGGCGUGACCGUCAAGGACGUGAAGGUGACCGCGCCCGGGGACAGCCCCAACACCGACGGCAUCCACAUGGGCGACUCAUCCAAUGUCAGCAUUAUCGACACCACCAUAGGCGUUGGCGACGACUGCAUCUCCAUGGGCCCCGGCACCACAAAAGUCAACAUCAGCGGCGUGACCUGCGGCCCAGGCCAUGGCAUCAGCAUUGGCAGCCUCGGGAGGUACAAGGACGAGAAGGACGUGACCGACAUCACCGUCAAGAACUGCGUGCUCAAGGGCUCCAGCAACGGCCUCCGCAUCAAGUAG
rnacentral:rRNA from 1 species